GUGAACUAUCCAGAAGACAGUAUUGUAGCCGUCGGUGGAACCUACAAUCAUAUUUUCAACUAUGAUACAACGCUUAUCACAUCUUUGUACUUCACCACCUCCAAGGGCUUUACCUCUCCAUUAUUUGGUGUGGCGAAGGGAAAAGAAUUCGAGCUCCAAGGUGAAAAUGGAGAAAAGCUUCGUGGAAUAUAUGGACGUGCUGGUACUGCCAUCGAUGCCAUUGGGGCUCACUUCGGACCGCUUGGGGGUAACAAGGGAAACACAUUCGACGAUGGUGUUUUUGAUGGUUUGAAGAAAAUAACUGUUGGAGCAGAUGAGUACAGUAUAACUUAUAUCAAGAUCGAAUACCAAAAGGAUGCAAAAGUCAUAGUUCGUGAACAUGGGACGAAUCGCGGGGAGCUAAAAGAGGUCAAAACAUAUAAAAUUUUGUUUGUUGAAUUUCGUUAAUAUUCAGUUAAUUCAUUGUUUAUAAUGGAAAAUGAAAUACAGUUCACGGUGAACUAUCCGGGAGACAAUAUUGUAGCUGUUGGUGGAAGCUACAAUCAUAUUUUCAACUAUGAUACAACUCUUAUCACAUCUUUGUACUUCACCACCUCCAAGGGCUUUACCUCUCCAUUAUUUGGUGUAGCUAAGGGAAAAGAUUUCGAACUCAAAGGUGAAAAUGGAGGAAAGCUUCUUGGAAUUUAUGGACGUGGUGGUACUGCCA
rnacentral:lncRNA from 1 species